UGCUGUGGUGAACUACAGUCAUCACAAAACAAGAAGAGCUUAUUUUUAAUUAUUUGCUCGCAGCAUUUACAACUACAGACUUUAGACCAUGUUGCAGACGAUUUAAAUCGACUGCUCUGCGCAGGCGUGAGAGAACGGUGCAAUAAAAGCAAAAACUGGUACACAAACAUAUGAUAAUAGCGCUGUCAGUGCUGGAGCUGCUGUCUGAGCAUUAGUGAGCUGGAAGUAGACACAACUCAACAUUAAACUGAAAACAUGUCUACACCGGGCAGUGGCGUGGGGCAGGGGCGAGCCAACACCGGGGGGAAGCGGUUCAUCAGUGGGGUGGUGGAAGGUUUUUAUGGGCGGCCAUGGACUAUGGAGCAGAGAACAGAGCUGUUUAAAAGAGAACAGAAGUGGGGUUUGAACACGUACCUCUAUGCCCCCAAGGAUGACUACAAACACAGGAUGUACUGGAGGGACCUGUACUCUGCAGAGG